rnacentral:rRNA from 1 species
UACGAAGGGGGCUAGCGUUGUUCGGAAUUACUGGGCGUAAAGCGCGCGCAGGCGGCCAUCCAAGUCAGGGAUGAAAGCCCGGAGCUCAACUCCGGAAUUGCCUUUGAAACUGUUUGGCUUGAGUACGGGAGAGGUGAGUGGAAUUCCCAGUGUAGAGGUGAAAUUCGUAGAUAUUGGGAAGAACACCGGUGGCGAAGGCGGCUCACUGGCCCGUUUCUGACGCUCAUGCGCGACAGCGUGGGGAUCAAACAGG